GUCCUUUUGAUUAUAUAUUUAAGGUCUAACCUGCCCACUGAAAGUUUAAUGGCCGCAGUAUCCUAACUGUGCAAAGGUAGCAUAAUAAUUAGUCUUUUAAUUGAAGGCUGGAAUGAAUGGUUGGACGAAAUAUUGACUGUUUCAUAUAGAUUUACGUUAGAAUUUUAUUUUUCAGUCAAAAAGCUGAAAUUUUUUUAAAAGACGAGAAGACCCUAUAAAUCUUUACAUUUUUAAAGUUUUUCUUUAUAAGAAUUUUUACAGGAUGAUUUAAAAAAAUGUUUUAUUGGGGUGAUAUUAAAAUUUAAUAAACUUUUAAUUUUUAUUACAUUAAUUUAUGAAUUUAUGAUCCGUUUAAACGAUUAAUAAAUUAAGUUACUUUAGGGAUAACAGCGUAAUUUUUUUGGAGAGUUCAUAUCGAUAAAAAAGAUUGCGACCUCGAUGUUGGAUUAAGGAAUAUUUUUAGGCGCAGCCGUUUAAAGUUUAAGUCUGUUCGACUUUUAAAUCCUU
rnacentral:rRNA from 1 species